rnacentral:rRNA from 1 species
UUGGUGAGCCGCGAUUCUCUCCUUUUUGUGAAAUGUUCUGAGGGAUUGCUCCAGAUCUCUCGACCUUUUAUUUUACAUAUUUGAUUGACUGUUGUUUAACAAAUUGAAAGUUUUGGAUCAGAAAUGAUNCAAGACGAUAAAAUUUCAAAACAACUUUAAGCAAUGGAUCACUUGGUUCUCGCAUCGAUGAAGAGCGUAGCAAAUUGCGAAAAGUAAUGCGAUCUGCAGCCUUUGCGAAUCAUCGAAUUCUCGAACGCACCUUGCACCCUUUGGUUCAUCCAUUGGGUACGUCUAGUUCAGUAUCUUUAUUAACCCCUAAAGGUUUAUUUUUUGAUAAACCUUUGGAUUUGCGGUGCUGAUGGAUUUUCAUCCGUUCAAGCUACCCGAACAAUUUGUAUGUUGUUGACCCUUGAUAUUUCCUUGAGGGNUUGCAUUGGUAUCUAAUUUUUUACCAGUGUGCUUCGAGAUGAUCAAGUAUAAAGGUCAAUCAACCACAAAUAAAUUCAACUA